UACGUAGGUGGCAAGCGUUACUCGGAAUCACUAGGCGUAAAGCGCAGGUAGGCGGUUCGGUAAGUCUUUUGUGAAAGCUCCUGGCUUAACUGGGAGAGGUCAAAGGAAACUACCGGGCUAGAGUGUGGUAGGGGAUACUGGAAUUCCUGGUGUAGCGGUGAAAUGCGCAGAUAUCAGGAGGAACACCGGUGGCGAAGGCGGUUCUCUGGGCAUGUCCUGACGCUGAGGAGCGAAAGUGUGGGGAGCGAACAGG
rnacentral:rRNA from 1 species